rnacentral:lncRNA from 1 species
GAGGUUGCAGGGGGAAGGGCAAGUGAGAUCAUGGCGGGAAAGCAUCAGGAUGGCCUCGCCUAAAUCCGCCAAGCAAAUUCACGAGCGAGUACACUGCCCCUGACGAUCAUCUGUCGGUUGAUAGUUGGUAGCAUUCGUCUGAGCCCAAGGUGGCGCCUGCCCAUCCGAAAAAGGGGCCGUGUGAGGGACUGCACAGGAACUGCUGUGAGGGAAGACGCACAAUUAACUCUCCUAGAUGUCUACCAAAUGGUUAGAAAGUCAAGUUGUCUUAGAGCAGGGACAAGACCAGCUCCCACGGUCCAGCCACAAAUAAAACCCUAAUUAACGGAUUCGCCGACCAGCAUUCUGUCUCCAUCCCUCUGCAAGAAUUUUGAUGGAUGACGCCACGCUCAAGUUCUAUGAUGUCAUUCCGGGAGCUAUUAUUUCACUAUGCAUCUGGCACUAUGAUGGUUGGACGGAACUGGUUUUGGCCGCUGUGGAAGGGGACCCCAGUAAGGUGGUUUUGUGCUUCUUUCAAUAUUGGGGGGGCGAGGGACCCCAGUCUUUAGCAUGAGAAUUCAAAUAAAGGCCUCAGAGUAGGGGAGAAA